GAGUUUGUCGGUUGGUCGGGCUUCACUGUCCGCACUGGCCUGAUGGAUUCCUACCUUCUGAAUAACCAGCAUGCUAUUAAUUUAGUGCGUUGGGGAAGCAGAGCUAUUACCUUGAAAAAAUUAGAGUGCUUAAAGCAGGCUUACGCUUGAAUAGAUUAGCAUGGAAUAAUAAAAUAGGACUUUGGUUCUAUUUUGUUGGUUUCUAGGACCGAAGUA
rnacentral:rRNA from 1 species